UACGGAGGGGGCUAGCGUUGUUCGGAAUUACUGGGCGUAAAGCGCGCGUAGGCGGCUUUGUAAGUUAGAGGUGAAAAGCCCGGAGCUUAACUCCGGAACUGCCUUUAAGACUGCAUCGCUAGAAUCGUGGAGAGGUGAGUGGAAUUCCGAGUGUAGAGGUGAAAUUCGUAGAUAUUCGGAAGAACACCAGUGGCGAAGGCGACUCACUGGACACGUAUUGACGCUGAGGUGCGAAAGCGUGGGAGCAAACAGG
rnacentral:rRNA from 1 species